rnacentral:lncRNA from 15 species
UCGCCACGCUGUCACACGCUCUGCUAUUGUGUGGAAAUUAGCUCCCAUUGAUGUGAUAACAAACUUCUUUCAUUGAAAAUAAACACUCGGGCUGAAUUUGUGUAAUCUUGUCCGCAUGCCAAAGGAGCCUUGCUCUUAAUACCGCAGCAUGUAAGAGUCAUAUAAAAAGUCUGGGCCUCAUGUUUCUGCUCCGUCACUGCAAUCCCCCUGAGGUUAACUUAGGAUGCAGAUGAGACUACUACCUGAAGUGAGCGGACAGGGGAGCUGGAAGGAGUGUUAUUCCCCAGCAGAGGGGAGAUAAAGGGGAGCUUCAACAUCCUUCAGUAAAACACCUGCUGGUUCAAAGACGACAAGAAUUCUGCAGCUGGAAAUGUGAAAUAUGCAACGCACAUAUGAAUACAAUCCCAUCCAUGUCUCAUACCAACAUACGUAUUCAUUUUAAGAAAGAUUCCUCGUUCGUUUCGCAGAUGAAAUGCUUGAGAGAAGAAUGAUCUCCUGAUCUAUCAGACACUGGAGCGACUGACUCUCUACAGCGGGGACAGUAGCUGUUUCAUAACUGUCUGUUUGAUCGCAGGGAGAGCGGACUGGUUCGCACCUGUCAAAGUGUCCUUGAGUAAAACACUGGACAUUUAUCUCCUCUAUGAUUCAACCUGGCCCUGACCUCGGUGGUGACAUGCAUACAGUAUUUCCAACUAUGUCACAUAGGGAUGUAAAGAAAUGACAACUCAGCUCAUGUGUCAUUUUUAGAUUUGUUUUUUUUCUUCUAGUCAUUGACCAAGGCCCUUUUCUUUAAUUGUGACUUGGCUAAUUCAGGCUAACAUGCUUUUAUCAGGCCAAAAUAAUCUGUUUAUUAUUCUCAUCCAGCUAAUUUGGGUCUUUGAAAGCCAUUUAAGGAUUCAUUUGUUAAUCCUGAAUAACUGAUUUUGAAAUAAAAGCUAAAUGAGUAGUGAGUUGAAACCAUUAAUAUGAUUGGCUGAGUGCUGAUCAUGUGAUCUGUGGGGUAGGUGUGUCAGGAGACAGAUUUGUGGACUCAAGUCUCUUUUUAUGUGUGUUCCUGCAUUGUUACAGAGGUAAUUUUGUUCUACAAUGUUUUCAACUAUUUCCACACUUUAAUCCCUGUUAUACAAUUAGAUUUCACCAGUGGAUGCACCCUGCUUUUAAAAGGCUUCUAAAGCUUUAAUUACAUGAAAAGCAAAGUGGUAAUUUGAUUCACUGAGGUUAUGAAGGCGAUAUGAUCCAGGAAGUUAUAUUAGCUAAGCUCCCUUAUUAAAAUGGGACAUUUGCCUUCAAACUCACAGCUUCACCUCCAGAGACAGCGGUUACUUACAUGGUACGUUUUAUUCAAACAUAUUUAUACAUAUUUUUAACUUCCAGCUCCUGGCACUGUGAGCUCUACCGGCAGGACAAACCUGCAGCGCCGCUCUGAACCUGCAACAGAUUAAAAACAGAAACAGCACAACAAUAGAAAUUUCCCAGUGGAUGCACAAAAUACUUCAAAGAAUCUCCACAGCCUUACUUUGAGGCGAGGUCAAUAUUCACUGGAGGAAG